rnacentral:rRNA from 1 species
UAGUACGAGAGGACCGGGAUGGACGAACCUCUGGUGUGCCAGUUGUCCCGCCAGGGGCACCGCUGGUUAGCUACGUUCGGACGUGAUAACCGCUGAAUGCAUCUAAGCGGGAAGCACAUUUCAAGAUAAGGUUUCCCACCACGAAAGUGGGUAAGGCCCCCAACAGACUAUUGGGUUGAUAGGCCGGAGGUAUACAGCAGCAAUGCCCAGCCGACCGGUACUAAUAGGCCGAGGGCUUGCCACA